rnacentral:rRNA from 1 species
UACGUAGGGUGCAAGCGUUGUCCGGAAUUAUUGGGCGUAAAGAGCUCGUAGGCGGUCUGUCGCGUCUGCUGUGAAAACUCAGGGCUUAACCCUGAGCUUGCAGUGGGUACGGGCAGACUAGAGUGCGGUAGGGGAGACUGGAAUUCCUGGUGUAGCGGUGAAAUGCGCAGAUAUCAGGAGGAACACCGGUGGCGAAGGCGGGUCUCUGGGCCGUAACUGACGCUGGAGGCGCGAAAGCGUCGGGGAGCAAACAGG